CCUACGGGUGGCAGCAGUGAGGAAUAUUGGUCAAUGGGCGGGAGCCUGAACCAGCCAAGCCGCGUGAGGGAAGAAGGUCCUGCGUAUUGUAAACCUCUUUUGUCAGGGAACAAAGUCGGCGACUAGUGCCCGGAUCGGGGUACCUGAAAGAAAAGCAUCGGCAAACUCCGUGCCAGCAGCCGCGGUAAUACGGGGGAUGCGAGCGUUAUCCGGAUUUAUGGGGUUUAAAGGGUGCGCAGGCGGCCUGUUAAGUCAGCGGUAAAAGCCCGGGGCUCAACCCCCGCCAGCCGUUGAAACUGGCGGUCUGGAGUGGGAGAGAAGUACGCGGAAUGCGCGGUGUAGCGGUGAAAUGCUUAGAUAUCGCGCAGAACCCCGAUUGCGAAGGCAGCGUACCGGCUCCACACUGACGCUGAGGCACGAAAGCGUGGGUAUCGAACAGGAUUAGAUACCCGAGUAGUC
rnacentral:rRNA from 1 species